UACGUAGGGGGGCAAGCGUUUGUCCGGAUUUAUUGGGCGUAAAGAGCGUGUAGGCGGCCAGAUAGGUCAGCUGUGAAAACUCGAGGCUCAACCUCGAGACGUCGGUUGAAACCAUCUGGCUAGAGUCCGGAAGAGGAGAGUGGAAUUCCCGGUGUAGCGGUGAAAUGCGCAGAUAUCGGGAAGAACACCCGUGGCGGAAGGCGGCUCUCUGGGACGGUACUGACGCUGAGACGCGAAAGCGUGGGGAGCAAACAGG
rnacentral:rRNA from 1 species